rnacentral:rRNA from 1 species
CUUACACAUGCAAGUUGAACGUUUCUUUAUUUUUAAUAAAAGAAAAGUAGCGAACGGGUGAGUAAUACAAAGGAAUCUACCUUUUAGUUUGGACUUAAAUUCCAAAUGUUUAAAUGUUUGCUGUGAUGCUACGUAUGAUUGCGUAGCAUGAUAUUCGUUUAUAAAAGACUUUGUCGCUAAAAGAUGAGCCUUUGGAGGAUUAGGUAGUUGGAAGAGUAAAAGCCUCCCAAGCCGAUGAUCCUUAGCUGGUUUGAGAGAACGAUCAGCCACAAUGGGACUGAGACACGGCCCAUACUCUUUCGAGAGGCAGCAGUGAGGAAUUUUGGACAAUGAGCGCAAGCUUGAUCCAGCUAUUUUGCGUGAGGGAUGAAGGCUCUUUUGGUCGUAAACCUCUUUCGUUGAAUAUGGAUGAUGACGACAUUCAAAGAAGAAGCCCCGGCCAAUUCUGUGCCAGCAGCCGCGGUAAGACAGAAGGGGCAAGUGUUAUUCAGAAUAAUUGGGCGUAAAGGGCACGUAGGCUGUUUUUUGUGUCAUUGUUGAAAACCCAGAGCUUGACUGUGGUAAAGGCAUUGAAACUGAAAAGCUUGAGCUUGAAAGAGGAUACUAGAAUUUCGAGUGGAGAGGUAAAAUUCAUAGAUAUUCGAAGGAAUACCAAAUGCGAAGGCAUGUAUCUGGUUCAAAGCUGACGCUGAGGUGCGAAAGCAUGGGGAGCAAAAAGGAUUAGAUACCCUCGUAGUCCAUGCCCUAAACGAUGUUGGUUCAAAACGCCUCAUUGAGACGUUUUUCAGUUAACGCAGUAAACCAACCGCCUGAGGAGUACAGCCGCAAGACCGAAACUCAAAGGAAUUGACGGGAGCCUACACAAGUGGUGGGGCAUGUGGUUUAAUUCGACAUAACGCGCAAAACCUUACCAGUCCUUGACAUAUGAGAGAUUUUUCUUGGAAGAGAAAGGAUAAUGUCAUUUGAUAAUGUCAUUUGAUA